CCUACGGGAGGCAGCAGUGAGGAAUAUUGGUCAAUGGCCGAGAGGCUGAACCAGCCAAGUCGCGUGAGGGAAGACGGCCCUACGGGUUGUAAACCUCUUUUGUCGGGGAGCAAAGCGAGUCACGUGUGACUCAUUGAGAGUACCCGAAGAAAAAGCAUCGGCUAACUCCGUGCCAGCAGCCGCGGUAAUACGGAGGAUGCGAGCGUUAUCCGGUUUUCUUGGGUUUAAAGGGUGCGCAGGCGGAGGUGCAAGUCAGCGGUAAAAUGUCGGGGCUCAACCCCGUAAUGCCGUUGAAACUGGAUGCCUUGAGUGCGCGAGAGGUAUGCGGAAUGCGUGGUGUAGCGGUGAAAUGCAUAGAUAUCACGCAGAACUCCGAUUGCGAAGGCAGCAUACCAGCGCGCAACUGACGCUGAUGCACGAAAGCGUGGGUAUCGAACAGGAUUAGAUACCCUUGUAGUC
rnacentral:rRNA from 1 species